GCUUGCUUCUCUGAUGGUUGAGGUGGAGGGCGACUACACGUAGGCAACCUGUCCUCAAGCUUGGGACAACUACGGGAAACUAUAGCUAAUACCGAAUACUUGCUUUCUUCGCCUGAAGGGAGCUGGAAAGACGGAGCAAUCUGUCACUUGAGGAUGGGCCUGCGGCGCAUUAGCUAGUUGGUGAGGUAACGGCUCACCAAGGCGACGAUGCGUAGCCGACCUGAGAGGGUGAUCGGCCACACUGGGACUGAGACACGGCCCAGACUCCUACGGGAGGCAGCAGUAGGGAAUCUUCCGCAAUGGGCGAAAGCCUGACGGAGCAAUGCCGCGUGAGUGAUGAAGGUUUUCGGAUCGUAAAGCUCUGUUGCCAGGGAAGAACGUCCUUGAGAGUAACUGCUCAAGGAGUGACGGUACCUGAGAAGAAAGCCCCGGCUAACUACGUGCCAGCAGCCGCGGUAAUACGUAGGGGGCAAGCGUUGUCCGGAAUUAUUGGGCGUAAAGCGCGCGCAGGCGGUCAUUUAAGUCUGGUGUUUAAUCCCGGGGCUCAACCCCGGAUCGCACUGGAAACUGGGUGACUUGAGUGCAGAAGAGGAAGUGGAA
rnacentral:rRNA from 1 species